CAAGUGCUUGGCAAAUAAUUGGACCAGAAUUAGAUAUUUUACGUAUUAAUGAAUUUAUUGGAAUUAAUCAACAGGGAAGAGUGGACUGCAAUCAAAUUUCCCAAUUGUCCAGUAUCAGGUUUAAUUUGAAGAGUAAACCGUUCUAUCUUACCGGUAAAAAUUACAUCAUUCGGCAUCCAGAUGAUGAAAAUAUAUGUAUAACCGUCUUCUGGAAUCACGACGCAACACAUAAAGAUGCAGUAAAAUGGGUUCUGGGCAUGCCAUUUAUUGGCCGUUAUUAC